AAAAGUGAUUCUAGGUAUUGGCUAAUUUCACCUAUUACGUACCUAUAAAUAGUGAAAUAUCACAGUACUGCACAUUCAUAUAUGAGUUCGAUUAAUUUGAGGUUCAUUUUACUCGUAGCUAAAUUAAUAUUAGGUACGUUUUGAAAGUUAGUGAUCACGAAAAUAAAAAACAAAAUGAAAGUCACAGUCAUCGCACUCUUGGUGGUACUUACACUCUACGUUUUCACGGUAAUGGCACAAGAAAAUGGUCCUGAAUCAUCAGAUACGAGUGCUAAACAAACAGACGCUCAACAAACAGAUACUGAUACUAAUUCAACAAACACACUGGGACAAUCAGUUCCUCCAAACCCAGAUUCCAAAAAUUCAACAACGGAAAAAAAGGAAAAAUCAAAACCCCAAAAAAAGAAAGGUUUACUGGGCUUAGGUAUAUUGGGCCUAUAAUAGGGCUCAUCAUCAUCAGUGAGCUACACAAGUAAACAGCUUCACUCAAAAGGGAAGUUUCGUCGAAAUUAAUCCGUACUAUUUUAUGCUUAAGUUAUUCAUGUUUCAUUCAACGUCUACAAAAAAUAGAAGUGCAAAUUUUUGAAGAAAUUGUGAAGUGUUCAAAUGUUUGUGAUAAAAUUAUGGUUUUAUUGAUAUUCUACUAAUUACACAAUACGUUAAAGAUACUUACAGCGUUCGCUUAAGUUUAUUUCAUUGUCUACUUACAGCACAACAAAUGCAUUUUCAUGUUAUUUU